rnacentral:rRNA from 1 species
AGAGUUUGAUCAUGGCUCAGAACGAACGCUGGCGGUAGGCCUAAUACAUGCAAGUCGAGCGAACCCUUCGGGGUUAGCGGCGGACGGGUGAGUAACGCGUGGGAACAUACCCAGAGGUACGGAACAACAGUUGGAAACGACUGCUAAUACCGUAUACGCCCUUCGGGGGAAAGAAUUUCGCCUUUGGAUUGGCCCGCGUUGGAUUAGAUAGUUGGUGGGGUAAUGGCCUACCAAGUCGACGAUCCAUAGCUGGUUUGAGAGGAUGAUCAGCCACACUGGGACUGAGACACGGCCCAGACUCCUACGGGAGGCAGCAGUAGGGAAUCUUAGACAAUGGGCGCAAGCCUGAUCUAGCCAUACCGCGUGAGUGAUGAAGGCCUUAGGGUCGUAAAGCCCUUUCCGCCUGUGAAGAUAAUGACGGUAGCAG